rnacentral:SRP_RNA from 1 species
CCGUGCUAGACGGGGAGUUAGCGGUGCCCUGUACCCGCAAUCCGCUAUAGCGGGGUUGAAUGCCUAUUUGAGGUUUGAACAUGUAAGGUCUGCCUUACAAAAGUGAGCGUUGACAAUUGGGUCCUGCGCAAUGGGAACCUAUGAAUCUGGUCAGGUCCGGAAGGAAGCAGCCAUAAGUAGACUUUUCCAUGUGCCGUGGGGUAGCCUAGUUCGAGUUACCUUUUGUAAGUAACGCUUGGUUGUUCCUGUCGAGAAUAGGAUGCACGG